AUUGAAUCUACGUUUCGACUAAAUUGUAGUCAUCUUCAGGAUUCAGGAUCCUGAAGAUGACUACAAUCUAGUCGAAACGUAGAUUCAA